GUGAGCAAUGCAAUUCUGGGAAAGUGCAGGCUCUCUGUGUUCUUUCCUCUCUUGCAAACCAUGGGCACCCUUGGGUCCCUUGGGGGUCACUGUGUUACACCUGCUUUUUAUCUCUCUAGGCAGGAGCUGCUCAAGCCACAUCGUACGACACUGAGGAGGACAGCACAUUGCACUCUCACCUCCUUUGCAGUUAAGUGUGAAAUAGUGCCAAUAGAGUGUGAAAGAAAAGAAAGAAGAUGAUUCACCUCCCAAAGAAGGCGAUUCCCCACUGCUGUGUCCCUUCUAUCAACUUGAUUCAAAAAACCAAAAUGGACCCGGGAACCAUGUGUUGAAGAUAGGAGAGCUCCAAAAGAGACUGGAGCCCUGAGUCACCACCUGGAGGAAAACUACCCACCCAUCAGGAAUUUAUACUAUACAAUUGGAAGUUUUUGGGUUACAGCAGCUACUUUAAUUAAAACACCCAGAGACAAGAGUCAUUAUUGCACAAA